UACGUAGGUGCGAGCGUUAAUCGGAAUUACUGGGCGUAAAGCGUGCGCAGGCGGUUUUGUAAGCCAGAUGUGAAAUCCCCGGGCUUUAACCUGGGAAUUGGCAUUUGGGACUGCAAGGCUGGAGUGCGGCAGGAGGAGACUGGAAUUCCUGGUGUAGCAGUGAAAUGCGUAGAUAUCAGGAGGAAUACCGAUGGCGAAGGCAGGUCUCUGGGCUGACACUGACGCUCAUG
rnacentral:rRNA from 1 species